UUAUUUUUAUUUUAAGAAGAAUUUAUAUUUUUGUUUUAUAAGGUUUAUAAAUAAA
rnacentral:tRNA from 1 species